rnacentral:lncRNA from 1 species
GUGCAGGCAGUCUGGGAGUGAAAGGACUGCUCAAAUCGCUGCAAUGAGAGCUGCCUGAAUUCAGUGUGAAGAAAUAACCUGACUUUUCACGAGCUUUGACUCAGUCUUCAAGACCAAAGUGUGAAAUGAGGCAGAAUCAGAGAACUUUAGUUACUUCCUUCAAGAGAAGUGAAAAAUCAAUGAACUGUGUAACUGAUCAUCUGAAGAAGUUCUGAAAAUCCCCCAAACUGGUCAAUGUCUACCACGAG